GAUCAAGUGUCUUAAGGGCAUUUGGUGGAUGCCUUGGCAUGCACAGGCGAUGAAGGACGUGAUACGCUGCGAUAAGCGUCGGGGAGGUGCGAAUACCCUUUGAUCCGACGAUUUCCGAAUGGGGCAACCAUCUAACCUUGAAUACAUAGGGGUUAGAAGCGAACCUGGGGAACUGAAAC
rnacentral:rRNA from 7 species